rnacentral:tRNA from 1 species
GCCUGGGUGGCUCAGUCGGUUGAGCGGCCGACUUCUGCUCAGGUCAUGAUCUCGCGGUCCGUGAGUUCGAGCCCCGCUUCAGGCU